rnacentral:rRNA from 1 species
CAGAGGGGGCAAGCGUUAUUCGGAAUUAUUGGGCGUAAAGGGCGCGUAGGCGGCUUUGCAAGUGACGGGUGAAAUCCCUCGGCUUAACCGAGGAACUGCCUGUCAGACUGCAUGGCUUGAGACCGGGAGAGGUGAGUGGAAUUCCCAGUGUAGCGGUGAAAUGCGUAGAUAUUGGGAGGAACACCAGUGGCGAAGGCGGCUCACUGGACCGGUACUGACGCUGAUGCGCGAAAGCGUGGGUAGCAAACAGGAUUAGAUACCCUGGUAGUCCACGCCGUAAACGAUGAGUGCUUGGUGUAGCGGGUAUCGACCCCUGCUGUGCCGAAGUCAACACAUUAAGCACUCCGCCUGGGGAGUACGGUCGCAAGGCUG